rnacentral:tRNA from 1 species
GCACCUGUCGUCUAGUGGCAGGAUAAGGGCCUUCCAAGCCUUUGACCGGGGUUCGAGUCCCCGCAGGUGCA